rnacentral:tRNA from 1 species
GGUGGUAUAGCUCAGUGGUAGAUCACUUGCCUAGCAUGUGCAAGGCCCUGGGUUCAAUCCCCAGCACCCCA